rnacentral:lncRNA from 1 species
UCUUCCAUGUGCUCACACUAAUUACUUUCUUUUUCGAGUUCUUUCUCUUUCCUGUUUUUGAAAUUCCACUUUCUUUUUGUUUUUUUGUCUUGAAUUUAUGUUGUUUGGUUUAUUUUAGGGUCGAUGCUUCCUUACUCCUUCAUGCUCCUAACUAAUCGGUCUCUAUUUUUCUUUCUUUAAUGGUAGUUUUUGCCUUUCCCCUUUAUUUUGGGGUGGGUAUUACUUCACUGGCACACUUCUAUGGACCUUUCUCACUCCUAUAACCAAUUUUUCUCUCUUUAAUUGCUUUUUCACAUGGACUUAAUGCAUCUUUAAGACCCACCCCUCUGUCUCUCUCUACGCUUUAAUUGUUGUGAUUUUUCUUUUUUCCUAUGUGUUGAUUUACUCCUUGUUUCUUUUUAGGUUUUAGGUUUGGAAAAAGGUUAUAAAAUGCCUUAAAAAUCCAUUGAAAAAGGGUGUUCUAUUGUUGAAAGACUCUCAAAUUGAUUAUCUCAACCUCAAAAUGUAUGGAGUAUAAACAAAUGGAGAUUUCAAAGCAUGACAAUAGUGUAUAUUGUUACGCAUUAUUUAGACUGUUCAUUUUCAAAACUUUUAAUCAUCUAAGAUAUGCUCGAUCUGUAUUAUUUUUCAAGCUUUAAAUUUCACAAUUAGAAGUGACAAUGGAUUUUCAUGCCGUAAGGCUUUUCGGCACCGACAUUGCACCUUUCAAGAUAAUUUAAAGUUCCACCUUAUUUCGAUUGUUUAAGAUUGAUGCCUUGUACAAAACCUCACCUUACAUGAGUCUGCGCUCACUUCGUUAUUCCUUCUCACUCCCAUUCACUCGUUUGUGUUUUCCCUUUUUUUGGGUUAUUUUUUUAUUUUGUUUUUGUAUUGAAUUUGUCGCUUAUAGUCAAAGUCUCUCUUUCUUUCAAACUCUCUCUCUCUCUAAGGUUUUUCCUAUUUCACAUUGAAUUUUAUCCUCAUUCAACUUUUCUUAUUUUCGUUCAUACGAUAAUUGUUUAAUAUUCCUACUCAAACAGCAUCUUCUUACUUUAUUCUCCCAUGCAUUCACACCAUGAUUUUGCUCAUUCUUCCCCCAUUUCUCAUAUUUCAUCUCAAUAAUCUCCCUUUUCCUGCCUUAUAUUCAACGAUAUGAGGCAUGAAUUACAUUUUAAAAUUAGUUAUUAAUCUUCUCUUCUCACUUCUUAAUUUUUCACCUUUAAUCUUCUAUUAUCUCACGCCUCUUAUUAUUUAUUAUUUUAAUGUGGAAUUUUAUUCCAUUCAUUACUUUAUGUUAUGCACCCUUAUAACCUAAUCUUAUCCCCCUCUCUCUCUGGAGUCUAGACUUCGUUCACACGUGCAUUCUGGUUGGGAGCUCACUUACUCCCUUCUCUUUAUCUCUCUAAAUUUCCUUUGGCACGUGCAUUCUAUGUUGGAGCUCACUUACUUCCCCUCUUUCUCUCUCUAGACUUCCUUUGGCACGUGCAUUCUGGAUGGACGCUCAGCGAACACGGUAACAGCCAAUCCUGACUGGUCACGUGGAUUGGGGGCACGGUUGCUUUGUCACGUCUCCUUAACCUAGCGCAACCGUCCACUCGAUGAUGUGUGUGAUGGAUUUGAUGGACAAAUGCACGGCGCUGAUCGCGUGGCACAUGACCAUGUGUCGCGCCUCUUUUGG